rnacentral:sRNA from 1 species
CCCGCGAGAUCAGCGUCCAGCUCGGACAAGGUCCACCCCAGCAGAUUCUGGGCUGCAACCCCGGGUCUCUUACCGUCACCAGCACACAGUGCAGGUCCGGGGUCUGCGCGGCGCCCCCGCUCUCCGCCGGGCCCGCGUCGUUCUCCAGUAGCAACAGCUCAGCCAGCCGACCCGGGUUGCUGACUCGCAGGAUGUUGAUGUCGUUCUCGCAGCAGAACGCACGGAUGAGGGUGAAAUGGAUCUGCAGAGCCACAUCCCGGUCGUCGUCUUCGUCCGCAGCCAGCAGGCACAGUACCACGUUAUCGGGGUCUCUGCGGGCAGCGGGGCAGCGGUAACUGACUUGUCUGCACUCAAAACUCAGAACCUGUCUUUCCCAGAGUAUGACGUCACUCAUCUCUACCCACCUGCUUCCCUCCAGGAAUAGGUGUGCUUGGCUUAGUGCUUGGCUUAUUGAUGACCAAUGAUGUGGUCAGAGGCUACGCUCAGUGGUUUAAGCCACAGAGCUUUGUUCUCUGCUGAGUAUGUGGGUUGGGGUACAUUAAAAGGCACAGAAUUUUUCAAGCAUAGCAACUGUAAUGACUGAAGUUAAAUAAACUUCACCAAGUGUCAAAAAGGGUUUGCAGUAACUGGAAGUUUCAUGUAUUAGUGAGGGAGAUAAACAAACAAAACAAUAACAAUAAAAACAGUUCAGCCA